rnacentral:lncRNA from 1 species
UAUAUGCUUUGACUGCUAAUGCAAUCAUUAAUUUAUCAACAGCAAUGUCUUUUCUGUGCUCCUCUAAUCUCUGGUUUAAUUUUCUCGUAAUUAUACCUACGUAUGUCGCCUCUUGGUGUGGUGUUAUGUUUAAUAGGUAUCUUGUAAACUUCUGGUCUUUUGCAAUGUUCACGUGCAUCUUUUUCAUUGCGGUGUUACUAAAAAGCAUUGGUGCUCUUCAUGUUGCUUUCUUCCAGUUUUUCUUACCAUUUCUCUUGUAACACUCAGUUUGUUCAUGGAAUAUGGCACUGGCAAGUAUUUUUCUUGCAAUCUGCUCUUGCUUUGGUUAAUAUGAUUACCCUGUAAGAUUCUUUUUACAUUGUGGUGGAUGUUCACUAAAAAAUGUUUACUAUACCCAUGGUUGUAUCCAAUGUUAUAUAUAUAAUCUUUCUCUAAAUCUUGGUUCUGUUGUGCAGACCUCUGCCCUUUUUAAAAUAAGUUAAAUGUGGUUCUUUUGUAAGCCAAUGGGUCCGGCGACCACCACAGAAUUAUAACAGGCUGGUAAGUCAGUUUUCUGUAAACGGAUGUUUUGAGUUUGGUAUCUUCUAGUUUUAUACAUAUGUCCAAGUAGUGCACUUCUUUGU